UCUCGAUUGGUCUAGUGGUGAGGAUACCUGCUUGUCACUGAUGGCGAUCUAAUCUUCCCGUAAGUGGAACCUCUAGUACUCGCAAGUAAUCGCAGGUGGCCGGGGUUCGAUUCCCCGAUCGAGAG